rnacentral:rRNA from 1 species
GAUGAACGCUGACAGAAUGCUUAACACAUGCAAGUCGAUUCGAUUUACCUUCGGGUAAUGAGGAUGGCGGACGGGUGAGUAACGCGUAAGGAACUUGCCUCUUGGACUGGGACAACUGUUGGAAACGACAGCUAAUACAGGAUAUUAUGAGAUUCUCGCAUGAGAAACUUAUGAAAGUUAUCUGCGCCAAGAGAGAGCCUUGCGUUCCAUUAGCUAGUUGGUGGGGUAAUGGCACACCAAGGCGACGAUGGAUAGCCGGCCUGAGAGGGUGAACGGCCACAAGGGGACUGAGACACGGCACUUACUCCUACGGGAGGCAGCAGUGGGGAAUAUUGGACAAUGCGCCACAAGCCUGAUCCAGCAAUUCUGUGUGCACGAUGAAGGUCUUCGGAUUGUAAAGUUCUUUCAGUUGGGAAGAAGAAAGUGACGGUACCAACAGAAGAAGCGACGGCUAAAUACGUGCCAGCAGCCGCAGUAAGAC